CAUUGAGAGAAAAAUAUGGAGAACAUUUAAGAGACGGUUUAUUGUAAUCUAAUCUUACUCAUUGUAUUUUUGUAUCAUGGAUUAAUCGAAAAACGGUGGCCUUGCUUGGACAUAGGUCGACUCAUCGUUGGCUGAACCACAUAAAUUCUGUAUUCUUGUGUUCUAUUGUUUGUUUUAUUGCUUUGUUAUUCUUAUGUUUAUUUUCUACAAUCUUCCUCGUCUGUUUUCAUCUACGAAAAAUCUUUGUUUCCGCUACGGUCUUGUGCUAUGUGGGUUUGAGAUUUGCUCGGUAAUCCUACGAUCGUUUCCUUUUAUAUUUUACUAAAAUUUGCUAAUAAAAAUGGCUUGAUUGUUAGUACCGAGGUCCCAAAUUUGAAUCCUAAUUAAUUCACAUUUCCAGCUAAACUUAUUUCUUCUAAAACAAAUAAAUGAAAGCCGGUAACAUACUAGUUUUCUCUAAAAAAUAAAAUAAAAUAAAAUAAAACAUAACAAAAAUACAAAUAAAAAUACCUUAAAAAAUAUAAUUAUCACAACUCACGUGUUUUUGCCUCC
rnacentral:lncRNA from 1 species